rnacentral:rRNA from 1 species
UACGUAGGGUGCGAGCGUUAAUCGGAAUUACUGGGCGUAAAGCGUGCGCAGGCGGUUUUGUAAGCCAGAUGUGAAAUCCCCGGGCUUGACCUGGGAAUGGCAUUUGGGACUGCAAGGCUGGAGUUUGGCAGAGGAGACUGGAAUUCCUGGUGUAGCAGUGAAAUGCGUAGAUAUCUGGAGGAAUACCGGUGGCGAAGGCGGCAUCCUGGACCGGCAUUGACGCUGAGGAGCGAAAGCUAGGGGAGCAAACGGG